UCGACGAUUAGAGUUUGAUCCUGGCUCAGAUUGAACGCUGGCGGCAUGCCUUACACAUGCAAGUCGAACGGCAGCAUGAUCUAGCUUGCUAGAUUGAUGGCGAGUGGCGAACGGGUGAGUAAUACAUCGGAACGUGCCCUGUAGUGGGGGAUAACUAGUCGAAAGAUUAGCUAAUACCGCAUACGACCUGAGGGUGAAAGUGGGGGACCGCAAGGCCUCAUGCUAUAGGAGCGGCCGAUGUCUGAUUAGCUAGUUGGUGAGGUAAAGGCUCACCAAGGCGACGAUCAGUAGCUGGUCUGAGAGGACGAUCAGCCACACUGGGACUGAGACACGGCCCAGACUCCUACGGGAGGCAGCAGUGGGGAAUUUUGGACAAUGGGCGAAAGCCUGAUCCAGCAAUGCCGCGUGUGUGAAGAAGGCCUUCGGGUUGUAAAGCACUUUUGUCCGGAAAGAAAUGGCUCUGGUUAAUACCUGGGGUCGAUGACGGUACCGGAAGAAUAAGGACCGGCUAACUACGUGCCAGCAGCCGCGGUAAUACGUAGGGUCCAAGCGUUAAUCGGAAUUACUGGGCGUAAAGCGUGCGCAGGCGGUUGUGCAAGACCGAUGUGAAAUCCCCGAGCUUAACUUGGGAAUUGCAUUGGUGACUGCACGGCUAGAGUGUGUCAGAGGGGGGUAGAAUUCCACGUGUAGCAGUGAAAUGCGUAGAGAUGUGGAGGAAUACCGAUGGCGAAAGGCAGCCCCCUGGGAUAACACUGACGCUCAUGCACGAAAGCGUGGGGAGCAAACAGGAUUAGAUACCCUGGUAGUCCACGCCCUAAACGAUGUCAACUAGUUGUGGGGAUUCAUUUCCUUAGUAACGUAGCUAACGCGUGAAGUGACCGCCUGGGGGAGUACGGUCGCAGAUAAACUCAAAGGAAUUGACGGGACCCGCACAAGCGGUGGAUGAUGUGAUUAUC
rnacentral:rRNA from 1 species